UGAAAACCUGAGUCGGGCAAAGGGCCUA
rnacentral:sRNA from 1 species